CGUUUGGUGGCGGAACGGUUACGUGUUGGUCUGCAAAAUCAAAUAAGUGGGUUCGACUCCCACCCAAACGUCCA
rnacentral:tRNA from 1 species